rnacentral:rRNA from 1 species
AUUGAACGCUGGCGGCAGGCUUAACACAUGCAAGUCGAGCGAGCGGCGGACGGGUGAGUAAUGUCUGGGAAACUGCCCGAUAGAGGGGGAUAACUACUGGAAACGGUAGCUAAUACCGCAUACCAUCAGAUGUGCCCAUAUGGGAUUAGCUAGUAGGUGGGGUAAUGGCUCACCUAGGCGACGAUCCCUAGCUGGUCUGAGAGGAUGACCAGCCACACUGGAACUGAGACACGGCCCAGACUCCUACGGGAGGCAGCAGUGGGGAAUAUUGCACAAUGGGCGCAAGCCUGAUGCAGGCAUGCCGCGUGUGUGAAGAAGGCCUUAGGGUUGUAAAGUACUUUCAGCGGGGAGGCGUUACCCGCAGAAGAAGCACCGGCUAACUCCGUGCCAGCCGCCGCGGUAAUUC